CCUACGGGAGGCAGCAGUGGGGAAUAUUGGACAAUGGGCGAAAGCCUGAUCCAGCCAUGCCGCGUGUGUGAAGAAGGCCUUCGGGUUGUAAAGCACUUUCAGUGGGGAAGAAAGCCUUGGGGCUAAUACCCUCGAGGAAGGACAUCACCCACAGAAGAAGCACCGGCUGAACUCCGUGCCAGCAGCCGCGGUAAUACGGAGGGUGCGAGCGUUAAUCGGAAUUACUGGGCGUAAAGCGCGCGUAGGCGGUCUGAUAAGCCGGUUGUGAAAGCCCCGGGCUCAACCUGGGAACGGCAUCCGGAACUGUCAGGCUAGAGUGCAGGAGAGGAAGGUAGAAUUCCCGGUGUAGCGGUGAAAUGCGUAGAGAUCGGGAGGAAUACCAGUGGCGAAGGCGGCCUUCUGGACUGACACUGACGCUGAGGUGCGAAAGCGUGGGUAGCAAACAGGAUUAGAUACCCCAGUAGUC
rnacentral:rRNA from 1 species